rnacentral:SRP_RNA from 15 species
UCCAGAGGGUGGGGCACACCAUGAAGCUGUAGGCGAAGCAGCGAGCAGCCCCAUCCUGUAGCUGGGGGUGGAC